CCCUUAGAUGUUCUGGGCAGCACGCGCGCUACAAUGGUCUUCGCAAACGGAUGCAUUCUCGAAGGAGAAUGCCAAUCUUGGAAUCUAUGCCUUGGUCGGGACAGUUGCUUGCAAUUUUUCGACUCGAACCAGGAAUUCCUUGUAAUCGUGAUUCAUCACAUCACGAUGAAUACGUCCCUGCCCUUUGUACACACCGCCCGUCGCUCCUCCCGAUCGAAGAGUUAGGUGAAUUGUUUUGAUCGAUAAGAUUUGACUAUGGUCAACUCUCGUUGUGAAAUUCUGUGAAUCUGACUGUUUAGAGGAAGGAAAAGUCGUAACA
rnacentral:rRNA from 1 species